GACGAACGCUGGCGGCGUGCUUAACACAUGCAAGUCGAACGGAAAGGCCCUGCUUUUGUGGGGUGCUCGAGUGGCGAACGGGUGAGUAACACGUGAGUAACCUGCCCUUGACUUUGGGAUAACUUCAGGAAACUGGGGCUAAUACCGGAUAGGAGCUCCUGCUGCAUGGUGGGGGUUGGAAAGUUUCGGCGGUUGGGGAUGGACUCGCGGCUUAUCAGCUUGUUGGUGGGGUAGUGGCUUGCCAAGGCUUUGACGGGUAGCCGGCCUGAGAGGGUGACCGGCCACAUUGGGACUGAGAUACGGCCCAGACUCCUACGGGAGGCAGCAGUGGGGAAUAUUGCACAAUGGGCGGAAGCCUGAUGCAGCAACGCCGCGUGCGGGAUGACGGCCUUCGGGUUGUAAACCGCUUUCGCCUGUGACGAAGCGUGAGUGACGGUAAUGGGUAAAGAGGCACCGGCUAACUACGUG
rnacentral:rRNA from 1 species